CACGUAGGGUGCGAGCGUUGUCCGGAAUUAUUGGGCGUAAAGAGCUCGUAGGCGGUGUGUCGCGUCGGCCGUGAAAACCUGCAGCUUAGCUGUGGGCUUGCGGUCGAUACGGGCAUCACUGGAGUUCGGCAGGGGAGACUGGAAUUCCUGGUGUAGCGGUGAAAUGCGCAGAUAUCAGGAGGAACACCGGUGGCGAAGGCGGGUCUCUGGGCCGAUACUGACGCUGAGGAGCGAAAGCGUGGGGAGCGAACAGG
rnacentral:rRNA from 1 species